CUCGCAACGCAGAGACUCAUACAGAGCUAAUAACUACCCAACCACCAGCUAUGCCCCCAAACACACAGAACAUGCUCCACAACACGUCUGUGAGCCUCACAACGCCUAGCCUGUCCUUAAUACCCACCUCAGCCUACGAUGUCACACAUGCUCCAUGGCAGGCCUCCCACCCUAGCCCGUGCAGCGGUAUCGCAACGCAGAGAUGUGCCUCGCAUGUAAACGUUCUCCCCAGAAUGCCAACGCUUGCUCUGUAAGGCAUCCAGUAUGACUGUAACACCUAGAUUUGCCUCCAGACUCAGGCUUGCACCACAAUACUCCCCCAGUGCCUCACAAUACCUACCACGAAUGUAGAGUGGACGGACCUGCCCCACAAUGUCCAGACUUAGAAAACCAAGACAUGCCCUAUCGGCCACAGGUUCCACAAAGCAAAAAUCUCCCUGUUGCACAGCCCAACUCUACAUCAUAUAGUCCCCCCCCCCCCCCACGGUAGGAACAGACCUCAAAUAUUCAGUCACAAAUUCAGUCUUGCCACACAACACUGACAGGUGUCUUACGACUCACACACGAGUUCCACGAUACCUAGACACAGCUAACUUACAAUGGACAGGUAUACGCUGUGACACAAAGGUUUCUCCCCGAAACACCAGAUUGCAUUCUGAUGCACAGAAUCCCCCCCAAACACACACACACAUGCACUCAUAGUGCCACAGGUGUUUACACUGACACAGAACUACGGGUGUAUCAGAAUCCCACAGACCAUACGUUCUUUCAGCCACAGCCAAAGACAUAUGUUUGCGCAAGUAUGAACAUAUAACCAGAGUUCCAGCAAGGACCACCUCAUGUUUAUGCAGAUACACGUAUACAUACACACAGAUGCAUACAAACACCCACAGUUUGGUGUGUAGGCACAAAGCAACAUGCAGUCACAGAUGCACACUCCACACUCGCACAGGCCCAGAGAAGCACGCAGAGACACAUGCAUGCCAACCUAGGCGUCCAGAGGAUGUGUUUACUGAUUCAUAACCUCAAAGAUGCAAGAACACAAAUGCAUGCACACACGCGCACACACACACACACACACACACACACACACACACGGAAAGACGCAUAAAUGCUUCUAGAGGCUCAUGAGGUGUGGACUCAUCCUCAGACACCCCCAGACAUUUAUGGAGAAAUGUAGACAAGUACAUAUGAGCCCACACAGACACAUAGGCAUUUGCAUGUGUGCACACAGAGCCACAGGCAGGUGCAUGGAGUCAUCCGUAUGCAGACACAGGCGUAUGCAUGUUCAUUGCUACGCAGAGACAUAGAGACAUUUAUAAAAAACUGAAAUAUGGAGAUGUAUUCAUAAGGAGACACGUGUGUUUUAAACACGUAUCUGGCAUCUUUAUGCUCAUAGAGUCACAUGAAUUUACACACAGAGGCAAGUUGUUAUUAAAACACACCUGCAUACACAUGGUCCUGCCUGGACCUGCAACCUGGGUGCUCAUGCUGACCAUGAAAACCUAGAAACAUGCCCACAUGCACAUGUAUAGAAAUGUACCUGGGGAAGCACGUGGGGAUAUUCGUGCAUAUGGGUGUGCGUAUGGAACCACACAAGCAUGCCGUGUGCACACAUAGAUGCACUCGUACAUGGAGACAUACACAUGCACACAGACAAAACAGAGAUGGACCCAUGAAGACAUCUCUGCAUGAAUAUGAGCAGACACAUUUAGAGAGAGACGUUUAUAUACAGAGAGAGAUGCCUCCCGUGUAGAUACAGGGGAGAGGAGAGGGAGCGGGGAGACGGAGGUUGGUCGGCUUGGCAGAGACACUUUCUUAUGCAGAAGCUCACACCUACACACAGAGACACACAGGCCUAGAGACCCAUACGAAGAUGUGCACAGGCGAACACAGCUGCACUCACACACUCACUCAGAUGCACGAGAGGAGCAAAGUCACACACACACAUGCAGAAACUCAGGUAUAUUCACGGAGACCCAGGCAAGUGCACAGAGACAGAGAUGUACGUGGAUCCUCACCCAUACGGACUCACAAAGAUACAGACUCAGAAGCUUGUGCAGGUGCCUGCGGGGACAGGUACACAGGUUUGUACACUUACAGACAUUGAGCACGGAUGUACUGAUAGAUGAGGAGACCCACAGACAUACCUGAACAAACGCAGAGGCACACAGGGACCUCCAUGUGCUGCAGGUGCAGCCCUAAAAAGACAAAAAAAGAAAAA
rnacentral:lncRNA from 1 species